ensembl:lncRNA
GGGGGGAGUCGCGUGAAACAGAGAAGUGACGAUUUUAAAAACAGGACGUUCUGCUCGGAGUGAUUUAUUUACUAUUAGCUUUAAUCACCGGAUGCUUUAUUUCAAUAGUAUGGACGUUGUUUGUUUAUUUGUCUGUAAGUGGAAUUCCUCCAAAGCUGAAGCGAUGUAGCGUUCCGUUUUUGACGACGUGUUUACGGAGUGAUGGAUGGAGUGAUGAGUGUCACAGAGACGUUAAUUAGCAUUAAACUGAACCAGCAUUUCACAAGUGCUUUGCUAAUUUAACGCCAGACUGUUGUAACGCAGCCUUGUCCGCUUACCUUUUACGACUCCGAAUCCCUAAUUUCACACGGCAGGUCUAGUUAACCAGCUGCCUGUCUCGCGUUCGAGCUGGAUACCAGGUCACAGUGUGGUUUGAGAAGUAAGUAUCUGGUGCAGAAGUUUGCUAAGUAGUAGAAUUAGACAUUCAAACCGUUUGCAGAUCGAGAUCAGUUGAUCAGAUUGCUAACUGCUCACUUUACAAACUAGCCAACGUACUCAUUAGCUAAUUUUCUAGCCAGGUACCAGAAUAAACGUCCACCAGGUGUCGCAGACAAACUGACGACCGAGACCUGAUUCAGAGAGUAAAACUCCCGGUUAUUCCGGGUCUCGGAGUUAGUUUAGUGCGUAUUUUGGCCGUCAGGUCUACAGCGCUAAAGUGAUGGAACGAGGGGAAGUCGACAAGGACGCGUUAAACACUGGGACUGAAUGAACGAAUGCUGGUGAAAGGAGGAAUGAAAACCAGGUUCUAAUGUGAUACAAAACCGCAGAUUCCGUCGUCUGUCCAUCGCCUCGUGUGAUCUGAAGCGAACUGUAAAACCCCCCUUCAUCAGAAGAUAAUAAAUAACGGAACAAGACUUUUAAUUUGUAAAGAACUGCACUGGGAAUAAAGCCAUCGCACAGAAGCCGAGGACGGAGACGAGACGCUGACGUGGAAUCGCGAGCGGAAUCGAGAGUCACGUGAUCGUCAAAAGAACUGCGCUGGGGGGCCAUGACUUUUACUUAAAGUACUCUGUAAUGCUUUUAUCACGUUGCUUUGCUUUGAUUAUCUACGACACGCGGGGCACGCGUUAGCGGAGUCGAGACGGAAAACCCGCCGCGUCGUGCCGACGUCGUUCCGGAGAAACGCCGCGUCAGGAAUUUGAGUGUUUACGUUUCAGUCGGACUCGAACGCGACGGAAGAAAGUUCUGUGGGUCGGACCGGGUCACGGGUGAAUAAUAAACAGCCAAUCAGAAUCGAGUAUUCGGAUCAAACGUUACAUCCUCGUUGAACCUACACUUAAACGUUUUCGUUUCAGAGCUUUAGAAAAAGGUUUGUGUUCAACAAACGCACGAGUUUCAAACUUUUUUUUUUUUGUGGAAAUUGUCGUACAAAUCCACGAUCUUAAAAAAAAAAAAAAAAUGAAAUGAACCGAGCGAGCUGGAAUCGGUUCUCCGUUACGGAAACACGUGAUGGAGUUCAUUUUAACGCAGCACUUCACGUAUAAACUGUUACGAUGUUACUUUCUGUCUUUGAUGCAGCUCAAAGCAACAGUUACCUUUUACAUCUGUUUGAAGUCUUGUUUGGGUUUUUUUUUUUCCAUUUCCUGUUUAAGAAGCUGUCGAUGCAGUGUUUUUUUUUUGUUUGUUUGUUUGUUUUUCUUUAUUUUCACGAACUGCAUGCACGAUGAAACGGGAGCUUUGGUCACAGAAAGUGUGAGAUGGUUAAGCGAGUGAUACGAGUGACGCGUUACACACUGUAGAAGACGUGGAUACGGGCGAGGAGACAAGGUGAAAGAUUAAAUCCUGAUGUGGGUCAAAAACUUUCCAAUGUAAAACACGAAAAGCCAAAAAGAAGCAUUAACCUGCUCCAUGUUGUUUUUGUUUGUUUGUUUUUUGUCAAUAAAAUGGAGACUUUAUGAAAAAGCUGUAUUAUAUGUAAAAUAAAAACCUUCUGAAAUGCUGUGUGUGUGUGUGUGUGUGUGUGUGUGUGAGACUGAUAUCCAUGAACAUGACUGGAAUUUCAAUUAAAUAAAACAUUAUAUGUAAAUAAUCAAAUAGUACUCGAUUGCACUUUUGAAUCUAGACUUUUUUUUUUAUAAAACCGUCAAAAGUGCAGAAUCCA